rnacentral:lncRNA from 1 species
AGUCCCCUGUCACAUCCCCCUACCUCAUCCUUCACCUCCCCAGGAGGAGUGACUGAUUCUGUUCCUUUGUAUCCUUAGGGCCCCCCAGGAUCUGAAGGCCUCCCAGGCCCCCCAGGCCCAGCGGGUCCCAGAGGAGAGCGAGGACCCCAAGGUAACUCCGGUGAGAAGGGCGACCAGGGAUUUCAAGGCCAGCCAGGCUUUCCGGGCCCACCGGUGAGUGAAGAAGACACAAAGCCAGCUCUGUCUGAUGUGGUCUCAUCGGGAGGGGCAGGCCUGACCAGGCCAGGCUGGGGGUCCCCCUGGAUUCCCAGGCAAAGUUGGAUCACCUGGCCCACCUGGCCCUCAAGCAGAGAAGGGCAGCGAAGGGAUUCGAGGCCCAUCAGGCCUGCCUGGCUCCCCUGGGCCACCGGGACCUCCUGGGAUUCAGGGCCCCGCCGGUCUGGAUGGUUUGGAUGGGAAGGACGGCAAGCCUGGCUUGAGGGGGGACCCUGGUCCUGCUGGCCCCCCUGGACUCAUGGGACCACCGGGCUUUAAGGGGAAAACAGGACAUCCUGGCCUCCCAGGACCUAAGGGUGACUGUGGCAAACCAGGUCCCCCUGGCAGCACUGGCCGGCCUGGCGCAGAGGGUGAACCUGGUGCCAUGGGACCCCAGGGAAGACCCGGUCCCCCGGGACAC